AGAGUUUGAUCCUGGCUCAGAACGAACUUUGGCGGCGCGUUUUAGGCAUGCAAGUCGAGCGGCAGGGGGGCUUCGGUCCCCCGAGAGCGGCGGACGGGUGAUUAACACGUGGACAACCUGCCCCCCGGUUCGGGAUAGCCCAGGGAAACCUGGAUCAAUACCGGAUGCGAGGGCGGCCGCACAAGCGGCCGUCGGGAAAGGCGCUUCGGCGCCGCCGGGGGAUGGGUCCGCGUCCCAUUAGCUAGACGGUGGGGUAACGGCCCACCGUGGCGAUGAUGGGUAGCCGGCCUGAGAGGGUGGACGGCCACAUUGGAACUGAGACACGGUCCAGACUCCUACGGGAGGCAGCAGCUAAUAAUCUUCCGCAAUGGGCGAAAGCCUGACGGAGCGACGCCUCGUGAACGAAGAAGGCCGUGAGGUUGUAAAGUUCUUUUUGGGAGGGGGAACUAGGCUGCCAGGCAAUGGGCGGCCGAUGCACGUGAAUCCCGAAAUAAGCCCCGGCUAAUUACGUGCCACCAGCCGCGGUAACAGGUAGGGGGCGAGCGUUGUUCGAAAUCAUUGGGCGUAAAGGGGGUGCAGGCGGCCGCCAAAUUCCGGCGUGAAAGACCCAGGCUCAACCUGGGGGGUGCGCCGGAUACUGGGCGGCUUGAGUACAGGAGGGGACGGCGGAAUUCCAGGUGUAGGGGUGAAAUCUGUAGAUAUCUGGAGGAACACCGAUGGCGAAGGCAGCCGUCUGGCCAUGUACUGACGCUGAGGCGCGAAGGUGCGGGGAGCAAACAGGUUUAGAUACCCUGGUAGUCCGCACAGUAAA
rnacentral:rRNA from 1 species